UACGAAGGGGGCUAGCGUUGCUCGGAUUGACUGGGCGUAAAGGGCGCGUAGGCGGUUCGUACAGUCAGACGUGAAAUUCCUGGGCUCAACCUGGGGGCUGCGUUUGAUACGUGCGGGCUUGAGUGCGGAAGAGGGUCGUGGAAUUCCCAGUGUAGAGGUGAAAUUCGUAGAUAUUGGGAAGAACACCGGUGGCGAAGGCGGCGACCUGGUCCGAUACUGACGCUGAGGCGCGAAAGCGUGGGGAGCGAACGGG
rnacentral:rRNA from 1 species